rnacentral:rRNA from 1 species
CAGCCGCCACGGUAAUACGUAGGGUGCAAGCGUUAAUCGGAAUUACUGGGCGUAAAGCGUGCGCAGGCGGUUAUAUAAGACAGAUGUGAAAUCCCCGGGCUCAACCUGGGAACUGCACUUGUGACUGUAUAGCUAGAGUACGGCAGAGGGGGAUGGAAUUCCGCGUGUAGCAGUGAAAUGCGUAGAUAUGCGGAGGAACACCGAUGGCGAAGGCAAUCCCCUGGGCCUGUACUGACGCUCAUGCACGAAAGCGUGGGGAGCAAACAGGAUUAGAUACCCCCGUAGUCCCUGUCUCUUAUAC